GGGGGAAGGGGGUUGAAACACAUUUUUUUUUAGUUUUGAGGGGCAUUUUUUUCUUCUGACUACCCUGUAUUUAGGAUAUUUUAAAGAGUUAUCUCUUUCCACCUGGUGGUAUUGUACUGUAGCCUGUAGCCGCCUUUCAAACGUCCCGAAAUCCUAUAUAUCUCAAGAAAAAUCUUAUUUAAUUAGUGUCGAUGCAUGUAGGGUAAUGGUUCCAUGGCUUUAAUUUAAAUGCGUCAAAAUAAAGGAUCCCUAAAACGAGUCUUACGUAUGAUUCGUCAAGCGUACGUACCUUUCGUCAAUUUGUAAG
rnacentral:lncRNA from 1 species